AGAGGGCGAUGGAGGGGUUGUGUGAAGUGUUCAGGCAGGUUUCCGCCCGGUUAAGUCAAUGAGGCCAAAGUUCCACACAUCGGAAUGAGUUUGAGUUUCUCUGCUGAUCAUCCCUUUAACGCUGAGCUGUAGUUCUUGUCAGAGUAAGAGGAUCUGGUGAUAUUUGUCAUGAGUGGAAUUAUGUGGAACAAUGUGGAAACACAGGAACUUGAACCAUGCAUACAAAAAUAGGAUUAAAUUAAAAGGAUUUACCAUACAUCUUAUGACUCUUUACUGGAGCCUUGGGAGAUAGAUAAAGAUGAAUGUCAUGUCUCAACCAACACUGAAAAUGUGAAGUUUAGAAGACAUUUGCUAAGUCAAGUCACCUCAUGUAAGUCUGCUUACAUCUCUCAACAUCAGCUUAAUUUUGAUUUAAAAUGUAAGGAAUUAAGUUCACCACCUUUGAGGCUUUCUCAACGCUGGAAUUGCUCAGAAUAUCUUAGAGUCCCCUUGUAUAUUGAAUCACUGGUCUUGGAAAAUAGUGGAAAGAUGAUUACUUACUAAAUUUCAUGUGCUUAUUAAAAAUAUAAUGUUUAAAAUCAAGGUAUUAUUUUAAAACUGAGAGUAGCACUUCAGAAUCGUCCUUUAUUUUGUAUCAAGUCUAGGCAACAAGUCCCAGCUGUGUGCCAAACUUAAUGGUUCUAAAACGGUUUUCCAUUGUAACAAAUGUUUUGUUUUUCAGUUUCUUAAGUCUUUGUAUGGCUUUUUAAAAUAUGUUCUUGAUCAUUGAAGGGCGAUAUUUAGUACCUGAAACCUUAAAUGGUUAACUAUUUAUUCAAAAAAUGUAGCUUUGAAAAGUCAUCUUAACCAAUCCCAACUGUUAUAAUUAUCUCCUAAUUGUCUUCUGUCUUCAUUCUGUCUUCUGUCCUGUUUUUGUUGCCAGACAGAUCUGCACGUAGAACCACUCCAAUAAUUUUAAAACCCUUUAAUGGCUCCCCACUGACUGCUGGAUAGAAUCCAUGCCUUCCCCUGGCAUUCAAAGCCCUCUCCCAAGCUCCUAAAAAUACCCCCCCGCCUUAGCCAGCUGAGCUCUCUCCUGUUCUCUGACUUCUCAUUCUUGUCCAUGCCUCUGCGUCUCGACUUGGACCGU
rnacentral:lncRNA from 1 species